rnacentral:rRNA from 1 species
GAUCCUGGCUCAGGAUGAACGCUAGCUACAGGCUUAACACAUGCAAGUCGAGGGGCAGCAUGAACUUAGCUUGCUAAGUUUGAUGGCGACCGGCGCACGGGUGAGUAACACGUAUCCAACCUGCCGAUGACUCGGGGAUAGCCUUUCGAAAGAAAGAUUAAUACCCGAUGGCAUAGUUCUUCCGCAUGGUGGAACUNUUAAAGUAAAUUACGUUCG